AACCUAGCAGUCGAACGGAAAGGCCCAGCUUGCUGGGUACUCGAGUGGCGAACGGGUGAGUAACACGUGGGUGAUCUGCCCUGCACUCUGGGAUAAGCCUGGGAAACUGGGUCUAAUACCGGAUAUGACCAACUGUCGCAUGGUGGUUGGUGGAAAGCUUUUGCGGUGUGGGAUGGGCCCGCGGCCUAUCAGCUUGUUGGUGGGGUAAUGGCCUACCAAGGCGACGACGGGUAGCCGACCUGAGAGGGUGAUCGGCCACACUGGGACUGAGACACGGCCCAGACUCCUACGGGAGGCAGCAGUGGGGAAUAUUGCACAAUGGGCGCAAGCCUGAUGCAGCGACGCCGCGUGAGGGAUGACGGCCUUCGGGUUGUAAACCUCUUUCACCAGGGACGAAGCGGAAGUGACGGUACCUGGAGAAGAAGCACCGGCCAACUACGUGCCAGCAGCCGCGGUAAUACGUAGGGUGCGAGCGUUGUCCGGAAUUACUGGGCGUAAAGAGCUCGUAGGCGGUUUGUCGCGUCGUCUGUGAAAUUCUGCAACUCAAUUGCAGGCGUGCAGGCGAUACGGGCAGACUUGAGUACUACAGGGGAGACUGGAAUUCCUGGUGUAGCGGUGAAAUGCGCAGAUAUCAGGAGGAACACCGGUGGCGAAGGCGGGUCUCUGGGUAGUAACUGACGCUGAGGAGCGAAAGCGUGGGUAGCGAACAGGAUUAGAUACCCUGGUAGUCCACGCCGUAAACGGUGGGUACUAGGUGUGGGUUCCUUUUCACGGGAUCCGUGCCGUAGCUAACGCAUUAAGUACCCCGCCUGGGGAG
rnacentral:rRNA from 2 species